AUCACAGCGGCCAUACCUUUUUUAAAUAUUUGUGUAAAAUAUCGAGUACAUAAGCAGCUGAUGAUGAUGUUAGUCGCGUUGCUAUCCAGUUCACCGUUGGUCAUCUGACAAUCGAUAGUCUUAUAGUCAAUAUAUUAUAUUAUUAUAAGUAAUAACACACAAUGGAUCCAGUUUUGAAAAGACUGCGGGCGGGCAAAUUUGAAAUCGGUGCUAGAUUUCAUUUUUGGAAAAACUACAACAGCACAAACGACUAUGAGCGAAACGUCACGCCGCUCCCGCUGGGAAAAAGUGUAAAAAAAUUGGUUGCCAAAAUCGAAAAUGGAACGGAUAAUGCGACGAUGAGCAAUAACGACCGUCAUCACAUACUGGUCAGUUGUACUGAUGAUAAUAAUAUGUCAGAUGUGGGCACACAAAUGUUGGAGUGUAAAAUUAAUUUGAUUGUCGAUUAUAAGCCGACCAGGCUGAUCAGGCCGAUAUGGGCCGCAAACAGAGUGGUGCGAAAGCACAACUUCUGUUAAGUACGUACUUAGAAAAUGUAUAUAAUGUUUGUAACAUAUUGUUUUGUAAUUUGUAACACUACCUAUGUAAAAACGUUGUACCUGUAUGAAAAUGUUAAAUGUACAUCAAUGUUAUUAUU